GCAUAACGCGAAGAACCUUACCAAGGCUUGACAUCCCCUUGACCGGCACAGAGAUGUGCCCUCUCCUUCGGGAGCAAGGGUGACAGGUGGUGCAUGGUUGUCGUCAGCUCGUGUCGUGAGAUGUUGGGUUAAGUCCCGCAACGAGCGCAACCCUUAUCCUUAGCUGCCAGCAUUUAAGGUGGGCACUCUAAGGAGACUGCCGAUGAUAAAUCGGAGGAAGGUGGGGAUGACGUCAAAUCAUCAUGCCCCCUAUGUCUUGGGCUACACACGUGCUACAAUGGUCGGUACAAAGGGAGCGAAGGAGUGAUCUGGAGCAAAUCCCAAUAAACCGAUCUCAGUUCGGAUUGUAGGCUGCAACUCGCCUACAUGAAGUCGGAGUUGCUAGUAAUCGCGAAUCAGAACGUUGCGGUGAAUACGUUCCC
rnacentral:rRNA from 1 species